AUUGAACGCUGGCGGCAUGCUUUACACAUGCAAGUCGAACGGCAGCGCGGGCUUCGGCCUGGCGGCGAGUGGCGAACGGGUGAGUAAUACAUCGGAACGUGCCCAGUAGUGGGGGAUAGCUCAGCGAAAGCCGGAUUAAUACCGCAUACGACCUGAGGGUGAAAGCGGGGGAUCUUCGGACCUCGCGCUAUUGGAGCGGCCGAUGGCAGAUUAGCUAGUUGGUGGGGUAAAGGCCUACCAAGGCGACGAUCUGUAGCUGGUCUGAGAGGACGACCAGCCGCACUGGGACUGAGACACGGCCCAGACUCCUACGGGAGGCAGCAGUGGGGAAUUUUGGACAAUGGGCGAAAGCCUGAUCCAGCAAUGCCGCGUGUGUGAUGAAGGCCUUCGGGUUGUAAAGCACUUUUGGCGGGAACGAAAAGGACUGUGCCAAUACCACGGUUCGAUGACGGUACCCGCAGAAUAAGCACCGGCUAACUACGUG
rnacentral:rRNA from 1 species